rnacentral:lncRNA from 1 species
CUUACAAUAGGAUUUUAGGCUCUUCCGCCUUACAGUAGGAUGUUUAGGCUCGUCUGCCUUACAAUACGACAUUUAGGCUCUUCCGCCUUACAAUAGGAUAUAUAGGCUCAUCUUCCUUACAAUACGAUGUUUAGGCUCGUCUGCCUUACAAUAUGACAUUUAGGCUCUUCCGCCUUACAAUAGGAUGUUUAGGCUUUUCCGCCUUAAAAUAGGAUGUUUAGGCUCGUCUGCCUUACAAUACAACAUUCAGGUUCUUCCGCCUUACAAUAGGAUGUUUAGGCUCUUACGCCUUACAAUAGGGUAUUUAGGCUUGUCUACCUUACAAUACGACAUUUAGGCUCGUCUGCCUUACAAUACGACAUUUAGGCUCUUCCGCCUUACAAUAGGAUAUUUAGGCUCUUCCGCCUUACAAUACGAUGUUUAGGCUCGUCUGCCUUACAAUACGACAUUUAGGCUCGUCUGCCUUAUAAUACGACAUUUAGGCCCUUCCGCCUUACAAUAGGAUGUUUAGGAUCUUCCGCCUUACAAUAGGAUGUUUAGGCUCGUCGCCUUACAAUACGACAUUUACUUUCGUCUCUCCUUAUAAUCAGACAUUUUGCUUAUAUUAUUAUGUGUUUUUACUAUCAAAUAUUUUGGAGUUUGACGUUAUUCUUCAGAGAUGGGUUUCAAUCCUUCAUGAAGUUAAAGACUAUCAAUGCUUGCACUACGUCUCAAACAGAUACGUUCCUUAUCACCUCUUGUCAUUUAUCUAGAACUCAUAUUUUAUUACUAUUGGUCAUACUUUAUAUAUUUAUAAGCUAACGUUUUAUCUAGAAUUUGCAAAUAUGAUCGAUCGCCCCUGAUUACAAUUAUUAUGAUAUCAUUGCAACAAUGACUCUAUGAAUUCUUCGCUUUUCAUAAUCCGAACCGCGCUCCAAAAGUUGAUUGCCUUACUCUAUCAUGCUCUUCUCGUUUUUCUCUGUCAUGCUCUUUUAGCCUCUCAAUCUCUCUUUAAUCGCUACUCUAUUUUAUCCAUUCAAGCUGAUAUCCUGCCUUCCGAACACCUUAGCGCUCUUUCAAUUUUUAAGAGUUUCAUUUGCUCUUGAAUCUAGAACUACACACGACCUGAUUCUCGUAUAACCAGAGAUAUGUAGGCGACUUAAAACCAAAGUCUCGGUCGUACCCUUUUUUACAAUCUACUUUGCCUCAAUUGAUCCUACUGACAUCUGUCGUCGGUCGGACAAAAUCGGCUACUAAGUCAACGUUGGUUGCCUGACAAUUCAUUCUUCAUUCUCAAUCAACCAAGGGGCAGCUGUUGACAACCAAUUUUGACCGACCUUUAACCGUUUUUUAGGAUUAUACUCGACUAAAUACGU